UGCUCCCCAGCCCCGCCUGCAGUCACUUCGCAGGAAGUUUGGCCUUUCCGCAACCCGUAGACACCGCGGAGCUUCCUUAGCAACCGGCGGGACUGGAGGUGUCGCUGAGAGCGAGGCGCUGCGGAGCCCCGGCCUCUGGCGGACCUGGAAUUUAUGAUAAAAGAAUGUCAUCAGGUUUCCAAAUAAAACCAAAGACUGCAAUACAGAAAAGCAAGACAUCUUCAUCUCCUUCAUCUAGUUCUCCAGAUCUUGCGGUUAAGCCACAACCAAGGCCCAGUGAUAAACUUAACCCCAAAACUAUUGAUCCGUUUGGGGAUCGUUCAAAAGCUCCUUCUGCAUUUUCUGCCAUUUACUCUAAAGGUGGUAUACCUUGCAGGUUGGUUCAUGGCUCAGUAAAACACAAAUUACAGUGGGAAUGUCUUCCUGAAACUCUUCCAUUUGAUCCUCUUCUUAUUACUUUAGCUGAGGGACUAAGAGAGACAAAACACCCAUAUACAUUUGUAUCAAAGGAGGGCUUUAAGGAAUUACUCUUGGUUGAAGAUGCUACUGAAAAAGCAAUUCCCUUGUUGCCUCGACUCGUUCCAGUGUUAAAGGCUACUCUGGCCCAUUCAAACAGUGAAGUAUUUGAAAGAGGAUUGAAUGCUUUGGUACAGCUGAGUGCCAUUGUUGGUCCUGCUCUUAAUGAUCAGCUGAAACAUCUACUCACAAGCAUUUCAAAGAGGUUAAUGGACAAGAAAUUCAAAGAGCAAAUCACUGUUGCAUUACAAAAGCUAGAGCAGUAUGGUGGAAAGGAGAGUGUAACUAUCAUCAAAUCUAAAAUUCCAACCUAUUGUUCCAUCUCCUUUUGAAUGAGAGAACCAUAUAGUCAUUUACACUGCGUAGUGUCGUUGUGGGCAUCAGAAGCUGACUGUGGAUGCUGUUGGAAUUUCCUUAUGUAAACAGACCAUUGAAACAGAUAUUAGACUGUCUAGAUAUUACUGCAUUCUGAGCACUGAAGUGAGAUGGAAGCUUCAAAAGACCAUUAUCUCCUUUUUCCUCAUUAAAACCGGAAUUUCCAAUGGAAUACCUAGAGGUUCAAGUAAAAAAAACUGACAAAGUCCGUACCAUCUUUUAUAUUUCCUGUGCAGCUUUCGGGCUACAAGGUGUUUAUAAAUUGUUGCUCAUGGAUAGACAUGCUUUUCCUAGUCUUGCUUACCCAUACCUGUAUUGCGAAUUCUUGUCUGCUGGCCCCCUUUUCAUAUAUACCAAAAGGGCAAAACAUUGACUCUGAUUGUUGAUUUUCCUAAUCUCCUUUACCCUAUCUAAGACAAUCCAAAUAGAGCUGGUAUGUCCAUUGAAAUCUACUGUAUUUUACUGUAUUUAUUGUUAGACAGAAUUGAUGGUUUUAGUUUGAGAAAAGAACUGUCAAUGGCUACAACAAUCUGCAUGAUCUAAUCAAUUGUUGCUAGCCCUUUUUCCAGUUUGGAUCUCAACACUUGAUCUAAUGUAGUAUGACACCCUCGGUAUGUACCAUGCUCCUCUAGUAGCUUGUAACCUUGUACAAUGUACAAAUAACAAGAAGCUUUGGUGUUUAAUGUUUUCAUAAUAAAAUUGCAGAACUUAUUUUUAUAAGGCUGUCUUGUCUAACUGUAGACAAGUUCUUAAAUAAUAGCUCAUUCAGUUAUCCUACAAUGAAUAAAUGUGAAUUCUGGCAGAGAUAUACCCAGCACAAGACUCAAAUAUUCACAUAACAAUUUGUCUACUACAUGGUAGCUUUGCAUAGGAAGAGACGAUGCAAACACACUAGUGGAAUAGGUGAACAUUAGCUUUUCAAAAACUAUCACCUCUAUGAAUACAAAUAUUGUAUAUGUUCGCACAUGUAACUGACUGUUUUGUAGAACAGGUCGCCAGACAUACCUUUUUGUAAAGGUGCCUAGAAGUGUAAGCUACAUCUUUACACCCAAAUCCUCUAAUUGGUAGUACCAUGUGACAACCCUUUAGCCAGCUGAUAGGAGUAACUAAAUAUCUUACAUUUAUCAUUACUUACUUUUUGGCAGCUUUCAAUGAAUUCAUCUAUGGUAACUACCCCAUCUUUAUUCUUGUCCAUUUUCUGUCCAGAAAGAUAAGAACAUUUGCUUAAAUCAUGUUAAAAUCCUACUUAAAAACACUGAAUUUUAUUACUUAUUUCAGAGUUAUAUUGCAGGCUGGUGGCCACCCAGGUCAGGGUAUCAUUUUACUAGACACUAUAAGUACAUUACAGUCCCUGCCUCAGAGAGCUUCCAGUCUAUAAAAGUCUAGACAUAACAGAUCAGUUGGACGAGUAGGUUGGGAUGUGGGAACAGGGAAGAUAGAGUAACAAAAAUAAUAGGAUGUGCCAGUGAAAACAUGGGAGUUUUCUUGUAGACCAUCCUUUUUUGUUGUCUUGCCCUACCUGGAAA